ensembl:lncRNA
UGUUGCAGAGAGAGAGAGAGGUAAUAUAGUAAUAGUGUUGCAGAGAGAGAGAGGUAAUAUAGUAAUAGUGUUGCAGAGAGAGAGAGAGGUAAUAUUGUAAUAGUGUUGCAGAGAGAGAGAGAGAGAGGUAAUAUAGUAAUAGUGUUGCAGAGAGAGAGAGAAAGAGGUAAUAUAGUAAUAGUGUUGCAGAGAGAGAGAGGUAAUAUAGUAAUAGUGUUGCAGAGAGAGACAGGUAAUAUAGUAAUAGUGUUGCAGAGAGAGAGAGGUAAUAUAGUAAUAGUGUUGCAGAGAGAGAGAGAGAGAGGUAAUAUAGUAAUAGUGUUGCAGAGAGAGAGAGGUAAUAUAGUAAUAGUGUUGCAGAGAGAGAGAGAGAGGUAAUAUAGUAAUAGUGUUGCAGAGAGAGAGAGAGAGAGGUAAUAUAGUAAUAGUGUUGCAGAGAGAGAGAGAGGUAAUAUAGUAAUAGUGUUGCAGAGGGAGAGAGAGGUAAUAUAGUAAUAGUGUUGCAGAGAGUGAGAGAGGUAAUAUAGUAAUAGUGUUGCAGAGAGAGAGAGAGGUAAUAUAGUAAUAGUGUUGCAGAGAGAGAGAGGUAAUAUAGUAAUAGUGUUGCAGAGAGAGAGAGGUAAUAUAGUAAUAGUGUUGCAGAGAGUGAGAGAGGUAAUAUAGUAAUAGUGUUGCAGAGAGAGAGAGAGAGAGAGGUAAUAUAGUAAUAGUGUUGCAGAGAGAGAGAGAGGUAAUAUAGUAAUAGUGUUGCAGAGAGAGAGAGAGGUAAUAUAGUAAUAGUGUUGCAGAGAGAGAGAGAGAGAGAGGUAAUAUAGUAAUAGUGUUGCAGAGAGUGAGAGAGAUAGAGGUAAUAUAGUAAUAGUGUUGCAGAGAGUGAGAGAGGUAAUAUAGUAAUAGUGUUGCAGAGAGAGAGAGAGAGAGAGAGGUAAUAUAGUAAUAGUGUUGCAGAGAGAGAGAGAGGUAAUAUAGUAAUAGUGUUGCAGAGAGAGAGAGAGAGAGAGAGAGAGGUAAUAUAGUAAUAGUGUUGCAGAGAGUGAGAGAGAGGUAAUAUAGUAAUAGUGUUGCAGAGAGAGAGGUAAUAUAGUAAUAGUGUUGCAGAGAGAGAGAGAGGUAAUAUAGUAAUAGUGUUGCAGAGAGUGAGAGAGGUAAUAUAGUAAUAGUGUUGCAGAGAGAGAGAGAGAGAGAGAGGUAAUAUAGUAAUAGUGUUGCAGAGAGAGAGAGAGAGAGAGAGGUAAUAUAGUAAUAGUGUUGCAGAGAGAGAGAGAGGUAAUAUAGUAAUAGUGUUGCAGAGAGUGAGAGAGGUAAUAUAGUAAUAGUGUUGCAGAGAGAGAGAGAGAGAGAGAGGUAAUAUAGUAAUAGUGUUGCAGAGAGAGAGAGAGGUAAUAUAGUAAUAGUGUUGCAGAGAGAGAGAGAGAGGUAAUAUAGUAAUAGUGUUGCAGAGAGAGAGAGAGGUAAUAUAGUAAUAGUGUUGCAGAGAGAGAGAGGUAAUAUAGUAAUAGUGUUGUAGAGAGAGAGAGGUAAUAUAGUAAUAGUGUUGCAGAGAGAGAGAGAGAGAGAGAGGUAAUAUAGUAAUAGUGUUGCAGAGAGAGAGAGAGGUAAUAUAGUAAUAGUGUUGCAGAGAGAGAGAGGUAAUAUAGUAAUAGUGUUGUAGAGAGAGAGAGGUAAUAUAGUAAUAGUGUUGCAGAGAGAGAGAGGUAAUAUAGUAAUAGUGUUGCAGAGAGAGAGGUAAUAUAGGAAUAUUGUUGCAGAGAGAGAGAGAGGUAAUAUAGUAAUAGUGUUGCAGAGAGAGAGAGGUAAUAUAGUAAUAGUGUUGCAGAGAGAGAGAGGUAAUAUAGUAAUAGUGUUGCAGAGAGAGAGAGAGGUAAUAUAGUAAUAGUGUUGCAGAGAGAGAGAGAGGUAAUAUAGUAAUAGUGUUGCAGAGAGAGAGAGAGGUAAUAUAGUAAUAGUGUUGCAGAGAGAGAGAGUUAAUAUAGUAAUAGUGUUGCAGAGAGAGAGAGAGGUAAUAUAGUAAUAGUGUUGCAGAGAGAGAGAGAGAGGUAAUAUAGUAAUAGUGUUGAGAGAGAGAGAGAGAGAGAGAGAGAGAGAGGUAAUAUAGUAAUAGUGUUGCAGAGAGAGAGAGAGGUAAUAUAGUAAUAGUGUUGCAGAGAGAGAGAGAGGUAAUAUAGUAAUAGUGUUGCAGAGAGAGAGAGAGGUAAUAUAGUAAUAUUGUUGCAGAGAGAGAGAGAGGUAAUAUAGUAAUAGUGUUGCAGAGAGAGAGAGAGGUAAUAUAGUAAUAGUGUUGCAGAGAGAGAGAGAGGUAAUAUAGUAAUAGUGUUGCAGAGAGAGAGAGAGGUAAUAUAGUAAUAGUGUUGCAGAGAGUGAGAGAGGUAAUAUAGUAAUAGUGUUGCAGAGAGAGAGAGAGGUAAUAUAGUAAUAGUGUUGCAGAGAGAGAGAGAGGUAAUAUAGUAAUAGUGUUGAGAGAGAGAGAGAGAGAGGUAAUAUAGUAAUAGUGUUGCAGAGAGAGAGAGAGGUAAUAUAGUAAUAGUGUUGAGAGAGAGAGAGAGAGAGGUAAUAUAGUAAUAGUGUUGCAGAGAGAGAGAGAGGUAAUAUAGUAAUAGUGUUGCAGAGUGAGAGAGGUAAUAUAGUAAUAGUGUUGCAGAGAAAGAGAGGUAAUAUAGUAAUAGUGUUGCAGAGAGAGAGAGAGGUAAUAUAGUAAUAGUGUUGCAGAGAAAGAGAGGUAAUAUAGUAAUAGUGUUGCAGAGAGAGAGAGAGGUAAUAUAGUAAUAGUGUUGCAGAGAGAGAGGUUAUAUAGUAAUAGUGUUGCAGAGAGAGAGAGAGGUAAUAUAGAAAUAGUGUUGCAGAGAGAGAGAGGUAAUAUAGUAAUAGUGUUGCAGAGAGAGAGAGAGAGAGAGAGAGGUAAUAUAGUAAUAGUGUUGAGAGAGAGAGAGAGAGAGAGGUAAUAUAGUAAUAGUGUUGCAGAGAGAGAGAGAGAGAGAGGUAAUAUAGUAAUA